AUUACUGUAAUAGACGUGAAUGACAACACACCGGUAUUCACAGAACAAGUUUAUAUUUUUAAUUUACCAGAAGAUGUUCAAGUUGGAACUGUUAUUGGCAAUAUUAAGGCAACGGAUCAAGAUGAGGAUGUAAAUGGUAAUGUAACAUAUUAUAUAGAAGGAAAGAGAUCGAAUGAGUUUGGUAUUGGUGCAUCAACUGGUGACGUGAGCUUGCUUAAACUACCUGAUAUAGAACCGACU